AAUCAAAGCUGAGAAAUGGUGAAUUAUAAAAAUCAAUGGUUUGCUAAAUUCGGCCACGAUUGCGACAUAAAAUUGGCCAAAGAAGAACAAUUACCGAUGUUUCGAAUGGAUGGAAGUAUAUUGUUACAAAUAAAGAAUCGUAUUAUUCGUUCGAUGAUGGCCUCGGAGGUAAAUUUACGAGGAAAUCGAAUUUUGCGGAGCCAAAAAGCCGUCCAUGAGGAGCAUAUCAAGCAAAUGAAAUAUCCUUAUAUCAUUCAUCCGUUUAGUACGG